CAUGAGAGGUACAGGUAGGAGGAUAAAAAGUGUGAAACUCUAUCCAAAAACAGUAACAAAAAACAAAGAAGAAGGGGUAGGUGAGUGUUUUGGCCCAACAACAGAGCAUUAGCCUACCAAGAACAAAGAUCCUAGUUUAACUCCUAUAUCAUUCCCCACCAUCGAAAGACUUCAGGGACCGUAAGUAUAUGCUAAAACAUGUUUAAUAAUAUGCCCAUUAACUGCCCGAUACAAUUCCUAUUUGAUUCAAAUUUAAGUAUUUUGUAGAACUCACAACCAUUAUCUAAUCAAUCAGAAUUUAAAAUUAACAUUCUCAUCUACUUUCUCUCAGGAUAAGAACAACCACUCUUAGGAAAUCGGUGUUUAGGAAAUGGACAUGUUUAUCCAGAAGAAUUUGAUGAAUCUGAAUUUUCUUUUCAAUCAAGGGUCUUGAUACAUAGCCCAGGCUGAUAUUGUCUCAGCCUCCCAAGUACUGGGCACUCUAGCACUUGAGGCCACACCUCCUCCCCUUUUUGCUUUACUUAUUUUUCAGAUAGAGUCCCAAAUUUCUACCCUGGCUGACCUUGGACCACAAAACUACCUAUGCCUCCCAAGGAGCCGAUCAAAGUUAGUUCAAGGUCAUGUCUCAAAAACAGAGGUGAGAGGAUCUCAGCUUAAGGCUAGCACCAAGGCAAAGUUAGUGUAUGGCCCUAUCUGAAAAGCAAACUAAAAACAAAAGGGUAAAGCACUUGCCCAGCAAGCAUAAGGCCCUGAGUCUAAUCCCUAGUAUUAUAUCUGAAAAAAAAAAGGUAGCAUAUAUAGGUUUAAAAAUUUUUUUUCAUAUAACUUAACUGUUGGACUUACUUUUAAAAUCCAACUAGGCACUGAUGGCUCACACCUGUAAACCUAGCUACUCAGGAGGCUGAAAUCUGAGGACUGUAGUUUGGAGCUAGUCCCGAAGUACAGUCUAUGAGACUCUAUGCCCAUUAAAAUACA